GCGUUGGUGGUAUAGUGGUGAGCAUAGCUGCCUUCCAAGCAGUUGACCCGGGUUCGAUUCCCCAGCCAAUGCA